rnacentral:rRNA from 1 species
UACGGAGGAUGCAAGCGUUAUCCGGAAUGAUUGGGCGUAAAGCGUCCGCAGGUGGCUAUGUAAGUCUGCUGUUAAAGAGUGAGGCUCAACCUCAUAAGAGCAGUGGAAACUACAUAGCUAGAGUGCGUUCGGGGCAGAGGGAAUUCCUGGUGUAGCGGUGAAAUGCGUAGAUAUCAGGAAGAACAUCGGUGGCGAAAGCGCUCUGCUAGGCCGCAACUGACACUGAGGGACGAAAGCUAGGGGAGCGAAUGGG